rnacentral:tRNA from 1 species
GGGGCCGUAGCCCAAUGGCAGAGGCACAGGAUUUAGGAUCCUGCCAGUGUGGGUUCGAAUCCCACCGGCCCCACCA